AGCAUUCCCGCGGGGGAUCAACAAAAACUUACUGCUUUUGCUAGUUUCUGUUUAGGGAAGGCAAUCCGCGCUUUGCGGAAUUGAAAAUAAAGUUCCAAUCUUUUAUUACUUUAUUAGUCAAUUUUUGCAGAAAUCCUCCCAAAAAAAUUUAAGAAAAGCAUGGAAGUGGGCAGAAAAUAUAACUGCAAGAUACUCAGGAACAAGUUUGUCUAAGUAUAGAGAAUUGCCGACCUUAGCAUACCGAUAUAAAAGUUACUACUUUCUUUUUUUUCACUCUUCGUAAUAGAAAAAAAAAAGCAUCCAAAUUGGGUUACAAGUUUAAUUUUACGUCGAAUACUAACAAAAGCGAGUAUAUUUCGCAUAAUAGGUUAUUAAAAAGCACGUGACAGACGAUACUGAACAGAACAUGUUGGUAAGAUGAGUCAUAAGCACGUCAUAAGAAAAAAAGCAUACAAAAUCAUGAUUGAAAGGAUCUUAAAAUAUUU